GUGCUCCCUUCGGCGGCACAUAUACUAAAAUUGGAAUGAUACAGAGAAGGUUAGUGUGGCCCCUGUGCACGGAUGACACACAAAUUCAUGAAGCAUUCCAUAUUUUU